CAGGCAACAAACAGUGACUUAUCACAACACAAUGGCACAUUUUUAAAGGGGUGGGGGAGACCAUAUUUAACAGUAAAUAUCUCACCUACCUGCAGAAUUAGCAAUAUGCAAAUCUACCCGAAUAUGCAAAUGAACCAGUCUUGCAAUUCAGUAGUGCAUAUUGCUGUUGCUACCAACAGAGGGCACUAGACAAGCUCCAUAGCCAAGCCCACCUAGUUGGUAGCAAACCUCAGUAGUACAGGAGAGCAGGCAAUACAUUUCACAGUACACACACACACACACACACACUAUAAACAAUUACAUUACACACACCCUGCACCUAUAAUGGGUACAGACUAGGGGCUUUAAAGCCAAAUACAUGAAAGAGUCAUAGUCACAGGGGAGGAGGCUGGCAAGCAGGCCUCUCCAGGAC